rnacentral:lncRNA from 1 species
AGUCGGCGUGCCUUGCAGCUGUUGGCUUGACCCCAGGCCGGGACGGGCAGAGCGGAACACUGCCCGGCGGGUCCAGGCCGACCGUGCCUGUGGCUCUCCGGAACAAUAAACCCCCGGCCCCAGUGAUGUGGGCCAGACCGGACCUGGAGAGGCGGCACCGCGACCCCUCCCGCAACCCGCCUGGCGGCCGGGGGCAGCGUGACCCGGCCCGCUACCGUGUCACAGCUGGCGACUGACAAACAGCAGGCGACGUCGGGAGAACUCCCCGAGACACCCGAGACAUCAGCCUUCUCGCUCCGCGGCCCUGCAGGACCUGCCCGCCGGGAGCCCCGGAGUCCGCGGCAGCGCCGAGGGCCCCUCCCCCAGGCCUCUGGGCUCUGAGGCUCAUCCAUGGAAUACCAAUUCUUUUUCUUAGUGUUCACAUUGGAUUUUUCUGUUAAAAAUAGAUUGUUGGAGUUGGCUAACAAGUUGAUUACUUCCAGUCAGGCACUCUCUUCUGUAAAGUCUCUUUUGUAAACUCCUACAAGCAGCUAUUUCACUGGAUUUGAAAAGACUGACUAAAAAGAACCAUGCACUGUAACUCUCAAGUAUACAGGAAUAUUGUUAUUAGGUAAUUUUUUUUUUCAAUAUGUGUUAACCUUGUCUUCCCUACAAUUUUCUUUUUCUUUUUUUUUUUUUUUUGAGAUGGAAUCUCACUCUGUCGCCCAGGCUGGAGUGCGGUGGCACAAUCUCAGCUCACUGCAACCUCUACUGCCUGGGUUCAAGCGAUUCUCCUGCCUCAGCCUCCUGAGUAGCUGGGAUUACAGACGCGCGCCACCAUACCCAGCUAAUUUUUUGUAUCUUUAGUAGAGACGGGGUUUCACCAUCUUGGCCAGGCUGGUCUUGAACUCCUGACCUUGUGAUCCACCCGCCUCAGCCUCCCAAAGUGCUGGGAUUACAGGCAUGAGCCACGGCGCCCAGCCUCCCUACAGUUUUCAAACAUUCAGAGAGGUGAUUAUGGUGUAUCUUUUAUUCUGUUUUGCUUUGGAUCUUGGCGUUCUUCUAGAGAACUCAUCUGCUCAGGAGCUUCUCAGUGCAUCUUCCCUCCCAAACUUGUCUUACCCAGCAGAGAAUGAAUGUACUCAAGAUUACCAGUUUUGCAGAUGAAUAAACCAAUGAUUCCAGAGGUUAUGGUGCAUAUCUAGAGUCACAUGACUAAGAAAUGAUAAAACCAGGAUUUCAGCCAGGUUAUCUGUUUCAAGACAUUUUCAGACAAAAAAAUCUGGAGUUUGCCACCAACAAGAAAUGAUCCUAGCCUCAGCAUCUCAGCCCACACUGGGAGUGUCAGGUCACAGUGAGCCGAGAUCAUGCCACUCCACUCCAGCCUGGGUGACAGAGCAAGACUCCAUUUCAAAAAAAAAAAAAACUGAAAAUACCAAAUAUUGACAAGGAUUUGGAGCAAGUGGAACCCUCAUACAUUGCUGAUGGAAAUGCAAAAUUAUACAGCCAAUUUGGAAAAAUAACUGGGUGUGGUGGUGUGCACCUAUUUUUCCAACAACUUGGGAGACUAAGGUAGGAAGAUCCCUUGAGCCCAGGAGUUUGAGGUUACAGUGAGCUGAUGGCGCCACGGCUCUCCAGCCUGGGUGACAAAAUAAAACUGUUUCAAAAAAAAGAAAAAAAAAUGAUGCUAUAAGAAAAAAACUAUAUACCAAUGUCCUUCAUUAACAUAGAUACAAAAUGUUUAAUCACAAUUUUAGCAAAUUGAAUCCAACUGUCUCCCCCACCCCCACAUCUAUCUAUAUAUCUAUAUUUGUUUGUUUGUUUUGAGACGGAGUUUUGCUCCUGUUGCCCAGGCUGGACUGCAAUGGCAUGAUCUCGGCUCACUGCAACCUCCACCUCCUGGGUUCAAGUGAUUCUCCUGCCUCAGCCUCCCGAGUAGCAGGGAUUACAGGCAUGCCCCACCACGCCUGGCUAAUUUUGUAUUUUUAGUAGAAACGGGGUUUCACCAUGUUGGACAGGCUGGUCUCAAACUUCUGACUUCAAGUGAUCCGCCCGCCUCAUCCUCCCAAAGUGUUGGGAUUACAGGCGUGAGCCACUGCAUCCGGCCUUGUUUUUUUGUUGUUGUUUUUUUUUGAGACAGGGUCUUGGUCUGUCACCCAGGCCAGAGCGAGUCUCAUGGUUCACUGUAACCUCCGCCUCCUGGGAUCAAGGAAUCCCACCUCGGCCUCCUGAGUAGCUGGGACUAUAGGCACAAGCCACCACGCCUAGCUAGUUUUUGUUUUGUUUUGUUUGAUUUGGUUGGUUGUUUUUUUCUUUUUGUUUUUGUUUUUGUAGAGAUGGCGUUUUGCCAUGUUGCCCAGGGUGGUAUCAAACUCCUAGGCUCGAGUGAUCCACCCACUUCAGCUUCCCAAAAGGCUAGGAUUGUAAUCACAUCUGUAGGCAUGAGCCACCACGCCUGAUAAAUCUAACAAUACAUUAAACGUAAAAUACCAGGCCAGGUGCAGUGGCUCACACCUGUAAUCCCAGCAGUUUGGGAGGCCAAGGCGGGUGGAUCACCUGAGAUCAGGAGUUCAAGACCAGCCUGACCAACAUGGUGAAACCCCAUCUCUACUAAAAAUACAAAAAUUAGCUGGGCAUGGUGGCACACGCCUGUGGUCCCAGCUACUCGGGAGGCUGAGGUGGGAGAAGGGACUAGCCUUGUCUCAGAUGAGUCUUUGGACUUCUGAGUUAAUGCUGGAAUAAGUUAAGACUCUGAGGGACUAUUGGGAACACAUAAUUGUAUUUUGCAAUGUGAGAGGGACAUGAGAUUUAGUGGGGCCAUGGGUGGAAUGAUAUGAUUUGGGUCUGUGUCCCCACUAAAUCUCAUGUCGAAUCCCCAGUGUUAGAAGUGGGGCCUGGUAGGAGGUGAUUAGAUUAUGGGGAUGGUUUCUCAUGAAUUGCUUAGUACCAUGCCCCCUUGUGAGUUCUCACAACAUCUGGUUGUUUAAAAGUGUGUAGCACCUCCCCACCCUCUCUCUUGGUCUAGCUCCUGCCAUAUAAAAUGCCGGCUCCUGCUUUGCCUUUCACCAUGAGUAAAAGCCUCCUGAGACCUUCUCAGAAACAGAUGCUGCCAUCCUUCCUGUACAGCCUGCAGUACCGUGAGCAAAAUAAGCCUCUUUUGUCUAUAAAUUACCUAGUCUCAGGUAUUUAUUUAUAGCAAUGUAAGAAAGAACUAAUACAAGUGGUUUCACUUCUUAUAGCCUAAAACUACCUAGCAUGCCUUUGAAAUUGCAACUGCUUUCUAUUUCUUAUAAUUCAGACUUGUCUUUUCAUUUGUGACCAAUUCCUGUUAUUUCAAAACCAAAGAGUGCAUGAGGGUGAAUUAUAUUACCCUGAAGAGAUGAGACAAUGACUCUGUCUGAACCAUUCAGCUGGUCUAGGUGACUAGAGACUGCAGAGAUGUCAGGACUGUUGCCUAGGACACAAAGCAGACUUACAGGGCAUUCCUCACUGAAAGAACAUUUUAGGGACACUUACUUAUCCAGAAAGGCAUAAAUAAGGAACUGGUAACCCUGAUAACUUGAGAACCCUACUGCUACCUGGUGAUUAGAGGCAGUCUGAGACACAUAAGAGAGUGGUUCAGGCCAGGAGUGGUGGUUCACACCUGUAAUCCCAGCACUUUGGGAGGCCAAGGUGGGUGGAUUGCUUGAGAUCAGGAGUUUGAGACCAGCCUGGCCAGCAUGGCGAAACCCCCCUCUACUAAAAAUACCGAAGUUAGCCAGGUGUGGUGGCACAUGCCUGUGAUCCCAGCUACUUGGGAGGCUGAGGCACGAGAAUCACUUGAACCCGGGAGGUGGAGUUUGCAAUGAUCCAAGAUCAUGCCACUGGACUCCAGCCAGAGCAACACAGUGACACUCUGUCUCAAAAAUAUAUAUAUAUAUUUUGGGACCUGGACAGGUGACCAUGGUGAGACCUUUGAAGACAUAUGUAUGUCCAUAGCAUGCAUAUGUCUUUGAACUGUGUAUCUUGAAGUAAUGUUAUGUUAAAUUAUGUAAUAGAUAAUCAUAAAGUGUCUGAGUCAUUUCUAAGUAAGUUAAAAUGCUGAGAUAUCAAUUUAAUCUUUUAGUUUUUUGUUGUUGACUUUAGACAUCUAGAAAUAUAAAGCAUAAUCAAUUUAAGAAUAAAAAAUACGGCCUGGGUACAGUGGCUCAUGCCUAUAAUCCCAGCACUUUGGGAGGCCGAUGCGGGCAGAUCGCUUGAGUCCAGGAGACCAGCUCGGUAACAUGGAGAAACCCUGUCUCUACAAAAAAUAUAAAAAAUUAGCCAGGUGUAAUGGCAGGUGGGUGUGGUAGUAUGCGCCUAUAGCCCCAGCUACUAGGGAAGCUGAGGUCAGAUGAUCACUUGAGCCUGGGAGGUGUAGGUUGCAGUGAGCCAAGAUUGUGUCACUGCCCUCCAGCCUGGGCAACAGAGUGAGACCCUGUCUCAAAAAGCAAAAACUAUGCAAAUAAGGACAAUUAUUAACAAAACAAUCUGAAAUCCGUAUCUGAAAAGUGUUUCUGGCCAGGCGUGGCUCACGCCUGUGAUCCCAACAUUUUGGGAGGCCGAGGUGAGUGGAUCACUUGACACCAGGAGUUGAAGACCAGCCUGGCCAACAUGGUGAAACCCUGUCUCUACUCAAAAUACAAAAAUUAGCCAGGUGUGGUGGUGCAUGCCUGUAAUCCCAGCUACUUCUUAGGAGGCUAAGGCAGGAUAAUCGCUUGAACCCGGGAGGCAGAGGCUGCAGUGAGCCGAGACUGUGCCACUGCACUCCAGCCUGGGUGACAGAGCGAGACCCUGUCACAAAAAAAAAAAAAAAAAAAAAAAGUGUUUCUAAAGGUAACCAGGCCAGGCACAGUGGCUUGCCUAGGCCUACCAGCUGCAGGGCAGGUUACAGCUAGUGGCCCAAGCUCUGGGAUAAAAUAUUAAUCAAUAUUAAUGAUACUUAGUCUUUUAAGCUUAAGCUUAUAUACUUUGUUGUCUUUAUGGUUUAACAAAGCUAAAUAUAUUUCAAUCUGUUAAUAAAAAUGGAAGAAACAUCUUUAAAAAAUUAUGAAGUAAUUUUCAUCUACAAAUAUUGACAAAAAAGUUCAAAAUUACU